AAUCCGCUCUAUACACUUGUUUUGGCAGUGAAGGACUGGUACAUGGUACAACGAUAUUCUUUUGUCAGCGGUUUUCCCCAUGAGCACCUGGUUCUAAAGAAAUCGAAAGUAACUUCAAUUUGAACCCUUUGGUGGGAAGAGAAAAGGAAUAUUCUCUCAUUUUAUCGUCAAAAAACCUUGAUUACAUCGUACAAAGUUCGGUUUUUGCUGUUUUAAUUACAAAAAUGCCGCCACAUGAAGACACUGGCGCUGCCAGCGAGCCGAAUACUGGAGGAACAACUCCACCACCGAAUACAACUCCUUCAUCUCCCAACUGGGCGGCUUUAAGACAAUACUUGACAGAGAACAAGAUUGACAGUGCUCUGUGGCUGACUCGUGUUUUCACAAUUAUCAAUUCCAUAUUAUUUCUUCUUCCUCUAUUCAGUCCACAGUUCAGUUAUAGUUGUUACAAGAGAGCUCUGAUUAGUGCUGCAGCAACAUCAGCUCUCAGACUACACCAAAGACUUCCUAGGUUCCAGCUAAGUAGAGAGUAUUUGGGUCAACUAUUCCUAGAAGACAGCUGUCAUUAUCUCAUGUACUGCAUUAUGUUCAUUAAUUGUUAUCCAGUAACAAUGAUUUUAAUUCCUGUGGCUUUGUUUGCUAUUCUGCAYACUGUUUCAUUUACCAAGAAAUUAUUGGAUAUUCUUGGUUCUGGUGGGAUUGUAAAUCUAUCAAUAGUCAGGGCAGCUCGUCAGUCCAUUGAAAAAGUAGAACUAUACCAACAAGGAAUUAUGAGAUUUGUUGCUUGUACAGAAAUAAUGCUUAUGCCAGCUGUAAUUCUAAUGACAUUCAGUGGACAAGCGGGUAUUGUCAUUCCAUUUGUAUAUUAUCGUUUCUUGGGACUAAGAUAUGCUUCAAGAAGAAACCCAUACUGCAGGGUACUUUUUACAGAGUUUAGAAGAGGAUUUGAGGGAAUAGCCAGUCAUGRUAAAUGCCCAGGCUUUGCCAGGACAUUCAUUCUCAAGGCCAUCACCUUCAUCUCCAGUUUGGCACCAGCUGUUUCUCCAGCACAAUCGUGAAGCUUCAAAAUAACAUUUGAUACAAUAAAUGACAAUACAUGGUUCCCCAAGAGCUUUUAAAGUUGUAUGAAUGUAGCUCAGGGUUUGGCUUACCAGUCAGGGCUUGGCUUACCACCAGUCAAGAUUUAGUUAAUUGUAGACUCAGACUAAAAAAUUCUGCAGGUGGCCAACGAUUCUUUAUAUCUGUGGUCAGGUUCAAUUUGAGUCAUUAUGGUAUAUGCAAAUUCAAGCCAAGGUAUUGUUAAUGAUAUCAAAACCAAAUUCUGAAAAUUCAACUUGUCAUAGGAUUACAACUCUUUCAGAACACCAGAAGAACAAUAGCUUUGUGCAYYGUUUUCUCUUGGGGAAACAAUUAAGCAUUGCUGGURCAUGCUAAAGAUAAUGGUGUCAAGUUCUAAGAUCAAGCUUUUCCGAGCUAGCUAGUAGCUUGAGGGUUCUCUGUUAAUUAUGUAAACAUAAUCAUUAUUGAUAAAUUUGUAUUUAGUUGUUCCCAUUAUUGAGUAUUCUCUCGUGAGACUUUCUACACAUGCUUUUUAACAGAUUUUAACUACUGAAUAGAGGACAAAUGCAGAAUCGUGAGUCUUUGUUUCAUGUGGCGUGCAGUAUGCCGCUGUCAAGAGGGUGGGUGACCAAUAUCUGUGAACACCACAAAAACCAACUUCAUUUUAUAUAUCUAAUGGAUCCAGACACUUGGUGUCUAGAGCAUGUUAUAGAAGGGUUUUUAGUUUUUGCUCUUUGGAAAAGCCCUGGAAAGCGGGAAACUUUUGUGCUUAGAAAGUUCUUUAAAUGUUUUAAAAUUUUGUGAUGAAAAUGUAGCAAAAACCCUUUUAUUAUGAAGAAUCUUCUUGAAAACAACUUUGAUAAACAUAAUGCAUAGUUGUAUGCCCAUUACUGCAAUCAAUGGAUGUUAAAAAAAACAUGA